UUACGGCCAUAGCAUUUUGAAACAUCGGUUCACUUCCGAUCAUUGUAGUUAAGCAGCGUCGUUCCUGGUCAGUAACAGGAUGCCCGACCGCUUGAGAAUACCAGGAGCUGUAA